rnacentral:lncRNA from 1 species
AGGAAAAGUACAUAGAUGAAAAUGUAAUCAAGGGACAGGAAGGAAACAAGACGUGUGGUUUAGAGAACCAUGAGCGGGGACAGUGAGACUGUGCUAGGCAUCAGUGGUCGAAAUCAGUGGAUUGGUUUACGCUCCCUGUGAGCCACGUGAAGGUGGACGGGGAGUGCUGGAUUGGUUUACGCUCCCUGUGAGCAAUGUGAAGGCAGACGGGGAGUGCUGGAUUGGUUUACGCUCCCUGUGAGCAAUGUGAAGGCUGACGGGGAGUGCUGGAUUGGUUUACGCUCCCUGUGAGCCACGUGAAGGUGGACGGGGAGUGCUGGGUUGGUUUACGCUCCCUGUGAGCAAUGUGAAGGCAGACGGGGAGUGCUGGAUUGGUUUACACUCCCUGUGAGCCACGUGAAGGUGGACGGGGAGUGCUGGGUGGGUUUACACUCCCUGUGAGCCACGUGAAGGUGGACGGGGGAGUGCUGGAUUGGUUUACACUCCCUGUGAGCCACGUGAAGGUGGACGGGGAGUGCUGGGUUGGUUUACACUCCCUCUGAGCAAUGCGAAGGUGGACGGGGAGGGCUGGGUUGAUUUACAUUCCCUGCGAACAAUGUGAAGGUGGACGGGGAGGGCUGGGUUGAUUUACAUUCCCUGUGAACAAUGUGAAGGUGGACGGGGAGUGCUGCAUUGGUUUACGCACCCUGUGAGGCACGUGAAGGUGGACGGGGAGUGCUGGGUUGGUGUACACUCCCUGUGAGCAAUGUGAAGGUGGACGGGGAGUGCUGGAUUGGUUUAUGCUCCCUCUGAGCAAUGCAAAGGUCGACUUUUGAAAAACAUAAGGAGAUAUCUGUACCUUGCACCAAAUACAUAAGUAAUUUCCAGAUGGAAUAGAAAACUGUAUUUCCCCACCACCAACACAACCAAGCCUCACGAUAAAUCACAGAAAACAAAACGGACCGGGCGGGCAGGCCUCGGCCGGACGCAGAUGAGGCCACCUAAAGCACACCCUUGGCCAAGAUCUGCCCAGGGAGACCAUGGACACCGCAAGGCCUGGGUGUGAGAGAGUGUUCGUAGCGCGAGUCGCAGCUUGAGGAUGGCUGUCCUGCCUCCGCCUGCAACUGCUACAGACCCUUGUGCAGAGGACAGCCUGGGAGAGGGGCUGCAGCCAGGAGGCCUGGUCUGGAUGAUGCCCCAGCCAGUCAGGGAGACACUGGGCAUUUCUGUUCCUCGAUCACUGCUGUCGGAAUGGUCAAAGGAUCCAGAUCUGGCUGGCGCCCAGGGAGCAUUUGCUCUCAUCCAUGGUCGAGGGUAGGGGCUGUUGAUGAUGACUUUCUGGUGGAGAGUUGGCUGAAUCUUCCAAGAUGAAGUGAGCAUAUUCCCCACUGAGAACCCCUUGGCCAGGGCUCUGGCCACAGUCCGUGUGAGUAGGGCUCCCAGUGGGUCCUUGGAAGGUUGGUGUGUGGUCCCAGCUGUGCUCUUCCACACGGGGUGGGUCCGAGGAGCCGAG